rnacentral:rRNA from 1 species
UGAGGAAUAUUGGUCAAUGGGCGAGAGCCUGAACCAGCCAAGUAGCGUGAAGGAUGAAGUAUUUCGGUAUGUAAACUUCUAUCAGCAGGGAAGAAAAUGACGGUACCUGACUAAGAAGCCCCGGCUAACUACGUGCCAGCAGCCGCGGUAAUACGUAGGGGGCAAGCGUUAUCCGGAUUUACUGGGUGUAAAGGGUGCGUAGGCGGCGCGUUAAGUUAGUGGUAAAAUCGUCAGGCUAAACCUGAUCAUGCCAUUAAAACUGGCGGGCUCGAGUACAGACGAGGUAGGCGGAAUAAGUUAAGUAGCGGUGAAAUGCAUAGAUAUAACUUAGAACUCCGAUAGCGAAGGCAGCUUACCAAGCUGUAACUGACGCUGAUGCACGAGAGCGUGGGUAGCGAACA